AGGAUGAACGCUGGCGGCGUGCCUAACACAUGCAAGUCGAACGUCCUGUCUCGCAAGAGGCAGGGAGUGGCGGACGGGUGAGUACCACGUGGGUCAUCUACCGUGAGGUGAGGAAUACCGGCGAGAAAUCGCCGACAAGACCGCAUAGCCUCGGUGCAAGUCGAGGAAAGCUCUCUCGAGAGAGGGAGCGCCACACGAGGAGCCUGCGCCCGAUUAGCUAGCUGGUGGAGUAAUGGUUCACCAGGGCGACGAUCGGUAGCUGGUCUGAGAGGACGAUCAGCCACACUGGGAUUGAGAACGGCCCAGACUCCUACGGGGGGCAGCAGUGAGGAAUUUUCGUCAAUGGGGGCAACCCUGAACGAGCAACGCCGCGUGCAGGAAGAAGGUUUUCGGAUCGUAAACUGCUUUUCUGGGGGACGAGCAAGGACGGUACCCCAGGAAUCAGCCCCGGCUAACUACGUGCCAGCAGCCGC
rnacentral:rRNA from 1 species